rnacentral:misc_RNA from 1 species
CCGUCACACCAUGGAAGUUGGCCAUGCCCGAAGUCGUUACCCUAACCGCUUGCGGAGGGGGGCGCCGAAGGCAGGGCUGAUGACUGGGGUGAAGUCGUAACAAGGUAGCCGUACCGGAAGGUGUGGCUGGAUCACCUCCUUUAAGGGAGACCUACCCAAUUGACUCCGAGUGUUUUAAUUAGGAGCGAUUGAGGUCACUCUAGGUCGUGCAGGAUUUAAGAAUUUCGAACUAUUGUUUAGGUUCAUUACUCGAAUAGAGUAUUGGGGCUAUUAGCUCAGGUGGUUAGAGCGCACCCCUGAUAAGGGUGAGGUCCCUGGUUCGAGUCCAGGAUGGCCCACUGGGAUGGGGGUAUAGCUCAGUUGGUAGAGCGCCUGCUUUGCAAGCAGGAUGUCAGCGGUUCGAGUCCGCUUACCUCCACCAAUUUCGGAAGAAGGAUAAUUUCAGCACCCUGUGAGUUAGACAAAUUGUCUAAUGUUAUAGGCUGCUGGACUUAGGUCUAGCGAGAACCUUGACAACUGCAUAGAUUAGUCGAAUAGGUAGUUCGACAAUUUGAGAACUUAGUAUAUUUGACUGAAAGGUCAAGCUACGAAGGGCUCAUGGUGGAUACCUAG